AAUCAUUCUUCCAAAACGAUUAACAGAUGCUAAAGGAAGGAGCGAAAGCGGGCAAAUAAACCAGGGACUCAUUGCUUCACUUCUGGGGCUAUGGAUUGCUACUUCAAAACACAAGUGAAGACUCAAAUCUUGCACAAAGGGCCACGAUACAACCCCCGUCACUACCGCUACUAUUUCCAUCCAGUUGGUUACUCGAUCUCGGAGGUGGCAGGCCAGAACCUGAGCCCGGUUCUACCUCCAUGAACUUUACACAGAGGCUGACACCCAAAUCCCCACUUCUCGGACAAGCGAGUAAGUAGUUGGCGGAGCAAAGAACAACUCCAGGUGCCUCCUGCCAGAACAGAUGCCAGCGUGGAGGAGGUGCUGUGUAAAAUGGCACUUCAAUCAGUCGUGAGGAGAACGGGUUACAGAGCCUCACUUCCAGCAUCGACGAUCCCGCAGCCCGGGAGGGCAAAGGCAAUUAUUGGGCAGCUGCCAUGUACCAGACCCUGGACUACAGACCAGAGAUUUUAAAAAAAAAAAGAAAAAAGACUCCCCCCACCACCACCAUGAUUCCCCUGAGCUUAGAGCCUACUUAAACUAAGAUCCUAUUGUGUUGUGUAUUUUAAUUUUGCAUGUCUGGCUUGCCGUUAGGUUUUAAGCUACUUGAAAGUCAGGAUAUCUUUUAAUUUUAGUAUUUCCCAUUCUCAGUGAUCAGUCCCUGCCCACAAGGAAUUUGGAGUCUAGAAGAGGAAGGACCGAUUGGUGAACAAUUUGAAUAUUAGUAACCCCAAACAAAAUUCAGAACACCUGGUCUGGCUCUGUAGAGUGUACAAUGGGAGACUGGGCUGAAAUAUUUAAAGUGCAGCUGUUCCAGAGAGGACCUAGAGCCCAAUGUGACCAGCCCAGAGGGAGGGAAGGAUUUGCCCCCAAAAUCAGAGGAACAUUUGGGAAAACCUCAAGUUAUCAGUUUUGGGAAGAGUCUUCAGGAACAGGAAGACAUGACGGAAAUGAAGGCGGAGACCAUGCAGGAUAUUCGUUCAAGGGUAAGAAUCUUCCCCCACCUUUCUGCCUUGCAGCAGGCCAUGAAGAAAUUCUCUGACCUACCUUGUCUGACUGUAGGACAUAAGGCUCAUUUCAGAAAGGGUCGUGCCCCAUACCCUGGAGGAAGAAAGGCUACACGGAGAAGCCAAGAAGAAUCUGAACAGACAGGCCUUGCUGGGUCUCGCCACUCAGUCUCUUAAUAUUAGAUCAUAUACCCCUUUGCCCAAUCACAUUUCUACAUGGUUGUCAAUCAUGCCUAUCCAGUGAAGUUUCCAUAAAAGGCCCAAGAAGACAGGGUCAGGGGGCUUCUGGAUAGCUGGACAUCUGCGGAGGGUGGGGUACACAGGGAGGACACAGAAGCCCUGCACUCCUUCCCCUACCUCACCACAUGCAUCUCUUCAUCUGUAUCCUUUCGGAUAUCCUGUAUACUAAACCAGAAAAUGUAAAAUGUAAGUUUCCCUGAGUUCUGUGAAUUGCUCUAGCAAAUUAAUUGAACCCGAAGAGGGGGUCAUGGGAACCCCAACUUGAAGCCAGUCAGUCAGAAGUUCUGAAGGCCUGGGCUGUGACUGCCAUCUGAAGGAAGGGCAGCCUCGGGGACUCAGCCAAUAUCUGUGGGAUCUGAUGCUAUCUCCAGGUAGACUUGGAGGACACCCAGCUGGUGUCCAGAACUGAUUGCUUCCUUGGUGUGUGGAAACCGCCCCCUCCCAUAUUUGGUCACAGAAGUCUUCUGUGUUGAUUGUUUUUGUGGUGUGAGAACAGAGGAGAGACAUAGUUUGAGUUGAUUUUUCUACAAACAACAUGUCAGCACCUAUGAGUCUUAGGGUGGCUGGAAUGGUGGAGGCUGACCAGGCCUCUGUCCUUAUUUUUAUAUAUAUAUUUUUUAACUUUUUCUUUUUAGAGACAGGAUCUUACUCUGUCACCUGGGCUGGAGUGUGAUAGCAUGAUGACAGCGCAUAGCAGCCUCAAACUCCCAGAUUAAGUGAUCUUCCCACCUCAUUCUCCUGAGUAGCUGUGACUACAGGUGCGUCAUCACGCCCGGUUAAUUUCUUUUUAGUUUUUUGUUUUUUGUUUUUUUUGAGACGGAGUUUCGCUCUUGUUACCCAGGCUGGAGUGCAAUGGCGCGGUCUCGGCUCACGCAACCUCCGCCCCCUGGGUUCAGGCAAUUCUCCUGCCUCAGCCUCCUGAGUAGCUGGGAUUACAGGCACGCGCCACCAUGCCCAGCUAAUUUUUUGUAAUUUUUAGUAGAGACGGGGGUUUCACCAUGUUGACCAGGAUGGUCUCGAUCUGUUGACCUCGUGAUCCACCCGCCUCGGCCUCCCAAAGUACUGGGAUUACAGGCUUGAGCCACCGCGCCCGGCCUAAUUUCUUUUUUGUAGCAACAGGGUCCUGCUGUGUGCCUAGGCUGAUCUUAACUCCUGGCCUUUCCCACCUCAGCCUCCCAAAGCUGAGAUUAUAGGCAUCAGCCACUGUAGCUGGCCUGUUUAUACCUUUUUAAAUAAAUUUUUUAUUUUAUACUCUCUCAUCUUGCAGGGAUCCCCUCUCUCCAUCAGGGUAGUUGGACUUUUUUACAUGGUGGCUGGCUUCUAACGUAGCAAAAAAAAAAAAAAAGCUGCCAAAUUUCCUAAGGCCUAGCCUAGAACUGGCAGAGUAUCAGUUCCAUCAUAUUCUAUUCAUCAAGGCAAGUCAAAAGUCCAGCUUAAACUACAGAGGAGGAGAAACAGGGUCCACUUGUUGAUGGAAGGAGUGAUGCGCAUAGAAAGAAGUUGCUGACUGCCCUCUGGGCAGCCGAUCCACCACACCAGCCUUGCCUAGACCCCUUUUCAUUGAUAUGAAGCAAUGGAUUCCUCUUUUUGCUUAAGCAUGUUAGAGAUAGGUUUCUGACUCCUGCAACCCAAAGAAUCCUGUCUAAUGCAACAUUCAAUGCUGGGUAUGGGCAGAAAGAAGACAAGGAAAAGGGCAGCAUUUCAAGAGAAGGCAAAGACUUUGGACAGCACAAAUAGAGGGAGAGUUAGCAGAGGAUUAUAGUGGAGGCACCAAGGACUCGAGAGUUUUCUCAGACACUAGCUAGAGCUUUCUGUGGUUGGUCCAUACCAGAUGACCUGUGAACUGCUCAACUAAUUACAGUCUGGACUAAUUAUUUCGAUACAAAGGUUACAAUCUGUUACAUUUCUUUAAAUAUUUCAUGUGAUAAUUUCUAUGCUUUCCCCCUGUACAUAUUAGAGUGUAGGUUACCUGAAAGGAAUGUACCUUCUAGGUAUGUAUAGAUAUUCCCAACAGUUCUUAACACAGUAUUCAAUAAAUGCUCGCUGAAUGAAUGAGUGAAUGAAUGAGA